AGCAGUUGUAGUGGUUUUAGCAUUAGACUGCAACUCUGGAGACCAGGGUUCAAAUCCCUGCUCAGCCA
rnacentral:tRNA from 1 species